rnacentral:rRNA from 1 species
UACGUAGGGUGCAAGCGUUAAUCGGAAUUACUGGGCGUAAAGCGUGCGCAGGCGGUUGUGCAAGACAGAUGUGAAAUCCCCCGGGCUCAACCUGGGAAUUGCAUUUGUGACUGCACGGCUAGAGUGUGUCAGAGGGGGGUAGAAUUCCACGUGUAGCAGUGAAAUGCGUAGAGAUGUGGAGGAAUACCGAUGGCGAAGGCAGCCCCCUGGGAUAACACUGACGCUCAUGCACGAAAGUGUGGGGGAGCAAACAGG